GAGAAAGGCUUGUGGAGAUGUCAGGAGGAGAGUAUAGUGAUCGCAAUGUGCUAUUGCGUUCGAGUUCAUCGGCGUCGGAUGGAGAUUUAGAAGGUCAGUUUCCGCAUAGGACUGGUAAUAAAGGCAUUACUGAUCUGUUGAAGCGAUUGGAUCGAGGAUUUUCGAAUAGAAGACUAUCGAGUGUAAAGCGGUCUGAUAGGGAUCAAUCGUCAUCUUCUGAUCACGGUGUUUCUUCUAGCGUUACUGGUAAUUAUAGAGAUGAUGAGAUUCUCGGCAAUAGUGCCCCACCGGAGUGGGCAUUGCUGCUUGUUGGAUGUCUACUUGGCCUAGCUACUGGCCUUUGUGUUGCGGGUUUUAAUCGUGGGGUUAGUCAGGAUUCUUUUAGUUUUCAUUGUG
rnacentral:misc_RNA from 1 species